UCUAGAUCAAGUUCAUCGUCAUUUGAGCUAAUUUCACUUCCGGAAACCAUUUUUUUAGAACAUCUAAACUAUAAUACUUUUGCCAUGAUCGUCGAAUCCGAACUAACGUCGGUGACAUUGAUAGAAUCCUAGUUUA